AAGCAAGGAAGUUGACUUCUACAAUUAAUUAGGGGCAUAAAUCGAAGACGUUGGAUUACCCAUUAUUGUUGCUCAAAGUCAUGGGCCAACUAUGGAGCCUAGAGGAUGUUUCAAGUGUACUUGGCCCAACUAUCAAAUAGAAUCCAACAUAAGAAAGGCCUAAGACCAACCAAAGGCCCAACAAAGCCUAAUUUGUAGAAGACUUUUCUUUGUUUUGUAUUUUUAUGAGUGCUUUACCACCUAAAGUCUUUUGUAUUCUUAUGAGUAUUCCACCACCUAAAGUCUUUUGUUUUUUUUGUCUUUUACCUAAUUUUUUUCCAUUAGUUAGGUGGAUGUUUUGUGAGUGCCCAUUAGAUAUAAUUAUGUUUAGUUGAAUAAUUGUGUGGUUUGUAUUGCAUCUUGUGGGUUAUAAAUAGCUCACUUUGGUGCA